AGUUUGAUCCUGGCUCAGGAUGAACGCUAGCGGCAGGCUUAACACAUGCAAGUCGAGGGGUAACAGGAAGGAGCUUGCUUCUUCGCUGACGACCGGCGCACGGGUGCGUAACACGUAUGCAACUUACCUCUAACAGGGGGAUAGCCCAGAGAAAUCUGGAUUAAUACCCCAUAACAUUGCGGAUUCACCUGAUUCUGCAAUUAAAGCUCCGGCGGUUAGAGAUAGGCAUGCGGCCCAUUAGUUUGUUGGUAAGGUAACGGCUUACCAAGACUACGAUGGGUAGGGGUUCUGAGAGGAUGACCCCCCACACUGGUACUGAGACACGGACCAGACUCCUACGGGAGGCAGCAGUGAGGAAUAUUGGACAAUGGGCGCAAGCCUGAUCCAGCCAUGCCGCGUGCAGGACGACGGCCCUACGGGUUGUAAACUGCUUUUAUAAGGGAAGAAACUUCCGCUCGUGAGCGGAACUGACGGUACCUUACGAAUAAGCACCGGCUAACUCCGUGCCAGCAGCCGCGGUAAUACGGAGGGUGCAAGCGUUAUCCGGAUUUAUUGGGUUUAAAGGGUCCGUAGGCGGGUCUUUAAGUCAGUGGUGAAAGCCUGCAGCUUAACUGUAGAAUUGCCAUUGAUACUGGAGACCUUGAGUACACUUGAAGUAAGCGGAAUGUGUCAUGUAGCGGUGAAAUGCUUAGAUAUGACCCAGAACACCGAUCGCGAAAGCAGCUUACUAAAUUGUCACUGACGCUGAGGGACGAAAGCGUGGGGAGCGAACAGGAUUAGAUACCCUGGUAGUCCACGCCGUAAACGAUGAUCACUCGAUAUUGGCCUCCGGGCCAGUGUCCAAGCGAAAGUAUUAAGUGAUCCACCUGGGGAGUACGAUCGCAAGAUUGAAACUCAAAGGAAUUGACGGGGGCCCGCACAAGCGGUGGAGCAUGUGGUUUAAUUCGAUGAUACGCGAGGAACCUUACCAGGGCUUAAAUGCAGGACGACCGGUCUGGAAACAGACCUUUCUUCGGACGGUUUGCAAGGUGCUGCAUGGUUGUCGUCAGCUCGUGCCGUGAGGUGUCGGGUUAAGUCCCAUAACGAGCGCAACCCCUAUCUUUAGUUGCCAGCGGGUUAAGCCGGGGACUCUAAAGAAACUGCCAGCGUAAGCUGUGAGGAAGGUGGGGAUGACGUCAAAUCAUCACGGCCCUUACGUCCUGGGCUACACACGUGCUACAAUGGCGGAGACAGUGAGAUGCAAACUCGUGAGGGUGAGCAAAUCUAAAAACUCCGUCUCAGUUCGGAUCGAAGUCUGCAACUCGACUUCGUGAAGCUGGAAUCGCUAGUAAUCGCGUAUCAGCAAUGACGCGGUGAAUACGUUCCCGGGCCUUGUACACACCGCCCGUCAAGCCAUGGAAGCUGGGGGUGCCUGAAGUCGGUGACCGAAAGGAGCUGCCUAGGGCAAAACUGGUGACUGGGGCUAAGUCGGAACAAGGUAGCCGUACCGGAAGGUGCGGCUGGAUCACCU
rnacentral:rRNA from 1 species